rnacentral:rRNA from 1 species
UCCCUAUGGGGUGCAGCAGGCGCGAAACCUCCACAAUGCGCGAAAGCGUGAUGGGGUUACCCCGAGUGCCGUCCGAUGAGGAGGGCUUUUCCUCGGUGUACAAAGCCGGGGGAAUAAAGGGGGGGUAAGACUGGUGUCAGCCGCCGCGGUAAUACCAGCCCCCUGAGUGAUAGGGACGAUUAUUUAGCCUAAAGCGUUCGUAGCCGGCUUAGCAAGUCUUUCGUUAAAUCUGACGACUCAAUCGUUAGUCUGCGGGAGAUACUACUAGGCUUGAGGGUGGGAGAGGUUGACGGUAUUUCCAGGGUAGGGGUGAAAUCCUAUAAUCCUGGGAGGACCACCAGUGGCGAAGGCGGUCAACUAGAACACGCCUGACGGUGAGGGACGAAAGCUGGGGUAGCGAACCGGAUUAGACACCCGGGUAGUCCCAGCUGUAAACGAUGCGGGCUAGGUGUCGGAGCAGCUACGAGCUGCUUCAGUGCCGCAGAGAAGUCGUUAAGCCCGCCGCUUGGGAAGUACGAUCGCAAGAUUGAAACUUAAAGGAAUUGGCGGGGGAGCACCACAAGGGGUGAAGCUUGCGGUUCAAUUGGAUUCAACGCCGGAA